CGUACACUCCUGCGGGAGGCAGCAGUGGGGAAUAUUGCACAAUGGGCGCAAGCCUGAUGCAGCCAUGCCGCGUGUAUGAAGAAGGCCUUCGGGUUGUAAAGUACUUUCAGCGGGGAGGAAGGCGAUAAGGUUAAUAACCUUGUUGAUUGACGUUACCCGCAGAAGAAGCACCGGCUAACUCCGUGCCAGCAGCCGCGGUAAUACGGAGGGUGCAAGCGUUAAUCGGAAUUACUGGGCGUAAAGCGCACGCAGGCGGUCUGUCAAGUCGGAUGUGAAAUCCCCGGGCUCAACCUGGGAGCUGCAUUCGAAACUGGCAGGCUAGAGUCUUGUAGAGGGGGGUAGAAUUCCAGGUGUAGCGGUGAAAUGCGUAGAGAUCUGGAGGAAUACCGGUGGCGAAGGCGGCCCCCUGGACAAAGACUGACGCUCAGGUGCGAAAGCGUGGGGAGCAAACAGGAUUAGAAAUCCCAGUAGUCCCA
rnacentral:rRNA from 1 species